rnacentral:rRNA from 1 species
GACGAACGCUGGCGGCGUGCCUAAUACAUGCAAGUCGAACGCAGUGGGGACGGGUGAGUAACAAGUGGGUAACCUCCCAUCAGAGGGGAUAACACUUGGAAACAGGUGCUAAACCGAUACUGAUGGAUGGACCCGCGGUGCAUGAGCCAGGUGGUGAGGGAACGGCUCACCAAGGCCACGAUGCAUAGCCGACCUGAGAGGGUGAUCGGCCAACCUGGAACUGAGACACGGCCCAGACUCCUACGGGAGGCAGCAGUGGGAAAUCUUCGGCAAUGGACGAAAGUCUGACCGAGCAACGCCGCGUGAGUGAAGAAGGUUUUCGGAUCGUAAAACUCUGUUGUUAGAGAGGCGGUAUCUAACGAGAAAGCCACGGCUAACUACGUGCCAGCAGCCGCGGUAAUUC